rnacentral:rRNA from 1 species
GCGCGAAACCUCCGCAAUGCACGCAAGUGCGACGGGGGGACCCCAAGUGCCACUCUUAACGGGGUGGCUUUUCAGGAGUGUAAAAAGCUCCUGGAAUAAGGGCUGGGCAAGACCGGUGCCAGCCGCCGCGGUAACACCGGCAGCUCGAGUGGUAGCCGCGUUUAUUGGGCCUAAAGCGUCCGUAGCCGGUCCGAUAAGUCUCUGGUGAAAGCCCACAGCUCAACUGUGGGAAUCGCUGGAGAUACUAUCGGACUUGAGGCCGGGAGAGGCUGGAGGUACUCCCAGGGUAGGGGUGAAAUCCUAUAAUCCUGGGAGGACCACCUGUGGCGAAGGCGUCCAGCUGGAACGGACCUGACGGUGAGGGACGAAAGCCAGGGGCGCGAACCGGAUUAGAUACCCGGGUAGUCCUGGCCGUAAACGAUGCGGACUUGGUGUUGGGGCGGCUUUGAGCUGUCCCAGUGCCGAAGGGAAGCUGUUAAGUCCGCCGCCUGGGAAGUACGGCCGCAAGGCUGAAACUUAAAGGAAUUGGCGGGGGAGCGCCACAACGCGUGGAGCCUGCGGUUUAAUUGGAUUCAACGCCGGACAUCUCACCAGGGGCGACAGCAGGAUGAUGGCCAGGUUGAUGACCUUGCUUGACAAGCU